GAGAACGCUGGCGGCGUGCCUACUACAUGCAAGUAGAACGCUGAAGAGAGGAGCUUGCUCUUCUUGGAUGAGUUGCGAACGGGUGAGUAACGCGUAGGUAACCUGCCUGGUAGCGGGGGAUAACUAUUGGAAACGAUAGCUAAUACCGCAUAAAAUUGAUUAUUGCAUGAUAGUCAAUUGAAAGGUGCAACUGCACCACUACCAGAUGGACCUGCGUUGUAUUAGCUAGUUGGUGGGGUAACGGCUCACCAAGGCGACGAUACAUAGCCGACCUGAGAGGGUGAUCGGCCACACUGGGACUGAGACACGGCCCAGACUCCUACGGGAGGCAGCAGUAGGGAAUCUUCGGCAAUGGCUCGGAAGUCUGACCGAGCAACGCCGCGUGAGUGAAGAAGGUUUUCGGAUCGUAAAGCUCUGUUGUAAGAGAAGAACUAGUGUGAGA
rnacentral:rRNA from 1 species